rnacentral:lncRNA from 1 species
AUCAAAAGAAGAUUACAAAGGUGUGAUACAGAUUUGAAAUACAUUGGCCGGCAGGUUCAACAAACCUCCGGAGACUGAAGCUCCAACUAUGGAGAGACUAAAACACAAUAACAUAAUGGCUAAAGAAACAGAACAUAAAACAAUCUAAGCUAGAAGAAGUGGGUAACAACAUAAAAUAAACAUUCACCCAAAAGAGAUCAACAAGCAUGAUGACUUGAACAGAGCUUCUCUGAACAAGGCAAAGCAAGGAAGCCAUCCAUGGCUACAACCUCCGGUCUGUGAAUCCUCCUAUGGUGAAUAGCACAUGCAGAUAAAAAACCAAAGCUUCAAGUACCAGGAAACAGAACACAUCAUGUUCAAAAGUCUUCAACUGGAAGUCGAUGUAGGAGUUGAAUCGACAAGCCAGAGAAGCUAGAUAGAAAAUAAGAUCUCGAUCAAAUCUUUAAAGGAAGGGAUAAAGAGCGAAACAACUCAUAACCAGGAACAACCUCAUUCGAGAGACCGAGAGGGCCGAAGAUCAAGACCAUGUAUGAGCCAGAGAAAGCUCAAAAUCAACAUGAAAUCAAUCAAACCACACACAAGUUCCAAGAUAGUGUAGAAGCCUGAAAACCGGAUUGACAUAAACGAUAAAAUACUAAACAAUGUUAAAGAACAUACGAUUCAAAUGAGACAUGGAAUCGAGAUAUAAUCUAUUUCCUUAACUCUAUAUAUUCGCUUUGUAUUGAGACGAGACUGUACGAAUAUCGAGUCCCAACAUACAACCAUGGCAGACGAUCACGCUUCACUCGUGAACGCCCUAUUGAACUAAUAUUUCUACAAAACACCCUCGGACUUACGUUUGGAAAUUUG